UACGAAGGGUGCUAGCGUUGCUCGGAAUUACUGGGCGUAAAGCGCACGUAGGCGGCUUUCUAAGUCGGGGGUGAAAUCCUGGAGCUCAACUCCAGAACUGCCUUCGAUACUGGAGAGCUUGAGUCCGGGAGAGGUGAGUGGAACUGCGAGUGUAGAGGUGAAAUUCGUAGAUAUUCGCAAGAACACCAGUGGCGAAGGCGGCUCACUGGCCCGGUACUGACGCUGAGGUGCGAAAGCGUGGGGAGCAAACAGG
rnacentral:rRNA from 1 species